rnacentral:rRNA from 1 species
CAACUUGAGAGUUUGAUCCUGGCUCAGAACGAACGCUGGCGGCAGGCUUAACACAUGCAAGUCGAGCGCAUGCUCCUUCAAGCGAGCUUGAAGAUGGUCGGUUUUGAUCAUCGAACGAGCAGGCUUGUUUGAUGGGGCAUGAGCGGCGGACGGGUUAGUAACGCGUGGGAACGUGCCCUCUUCUACGGAACAGCCUCGGGAAACUGAGAUUAAUACCGUAUACGCCCGCCGGGCAACCGGCGGGGAAAGAUUUAUCGGAGGAGGAUCGGCCCGCGUCUGAUUAGGUAGUUGGUGGGGUAACGGCUCACCAAGCCGACGAUCAGUAGCUGGUUUGAGAGGAUGAUCAGCAACACUGGGACUGAGACACGGCCCAGACUCCUACGGGAGGCAGCAGUGGGGAAUCUUGGACAAUGGGGGCAACCCUGAUCCAGCCAUGCCGCGUGGACGAUG